rnacentral:rRNA from 1 species
GCUUGUCUCAAAGAUUAAGCCAUGCAUGUCUAAGUAUAAACUGCUUAUACUGUGAAACUGCGAAUGGCUCAUUAAAUCAGUUAUAGUUUAUUUGAUGGUACCUCUACUCGGAUAACCGUAGUAAUUCUAGAGCUAAUACGUGCGUAAAUCCCGACUUCUGGAAGGGACGUAUUUAUUAGAUAAAAGGCCAGCCGUCUCACGACGACCUGCGUUGACUCAUGAUAACUUCACGAAUCGCAUGGGCUUGCCCCGGCGAUGUUUCAUUCAAGUUUCUGCCCUAUCAGCUUUGGAUGGUAGGGUAUUGGCCUACCAUGGCUUUAACGGGUAACGGAGAAUUAGGGUUCGAUUCCGGAGAGGGAGCCUGAGAAAUGGCUACCACAUCCAAGGAAGGCAGCAGG